GGCACCUAUGCCAAGUUGAGAACUUAAACUUGGGUGGAUAAGUUCCACCGCAAGGAACCUAAUCAACUGAACUAGACUCAAUUCACAUUUUUAGGUUACUUUGCCAAUAUGCUUAAUAUACGAACUACACAUGGAUCACUAUAGGCAAGAUCAUGUAUGUCUUUUUUCAUGGAUCGAUCAUUAAUUUUAGAUAGCUAAAAUGUACUUUAUGUGAUUCGUCGAUUUGAUAAUGUUUCAAUAUAGAUGAUUUUCGAGCUGUUUUAGUUUUGUACAAAAAUCACAUGCCUACUUAAAUGAAGUCUUCUUAAAAAAUACAAUACACUAGGGGACAUAUCCUAACAUAUAUCCUGAUUUUGAUUUGAUGAGAAACCUCCUAGUUCACACAAUACAAAACAUUAUUUUGCUUCUGUUAGUACGGUUAUGACAAGACACCUCCAGAUGUCUCACACUUUUGGAUACAUUGGCCUU
rnacentral:lncRNA from 1 species